rnacentral:lncRNA from 1 species
UUGUUUUGUGUGAAAAUAAUCUUUUGUGGUAUCUGUCAUGUAUGGAUCAGCGAUGACAGCUGUUCACGGCACCGACACAGAGGACAGAUUGCAGUGCAAGAUAGAAGCGGUCUUCCUGCAAGCCCAGACAAGCCCUAUUGAGUGGUUUCAAAUACAGCAACUGUACCACCACGACAGUGCAGCACAAGAGACCCUAUCAUCAGUGCUGAGUCAGAAAUUAAAUAGAAAAGCGCUUUCUUC